CGUAAUCAUUUGUCUUUUAAAUGAAGACCAGUAUGAAUGGCAUAACGAGGGCCAAGCUGUCUCCUUUUUCCAGUCAAUGAAAUUGAUCCCCCUGUGCAGAAGCAGGGACACAAACAUAAGACGAGAAGACCCUAUGGAGCUUAAGACACAAGACAGUUCAUGUUAAAAAACCAUAUUAAUGGAAAGAACCAAAUGACCCCUGUCCUUUUGUCUUUGGUUGGGGCGACCAUGGGGUAACAAAAAACCCCCAUGUGGAACAGGGCCCAGGCCCUUAAAGCUAGAGCCACAGCUCUAACAAACAGAACAUCUGACCUUCAAGAUCCGGCAAGACCGAUCAACGGACCGAGUUACCCUAGGGAUAACAGCGCAAUCCCCUUUUAGAGCCCAUAUCGACAAGGGGGUUUACGACCUCGAUGUUGGAUCAGGACACCCUAAUGGUGCAGCCGCUAUUAAGGGUUCGUUUGUUCAACGAUU
rnacentral:rRNA from 1 species